AUUUGUUCCUUUUUAUUGCUGACUAGCAUUAAGUCCCUUUCUUGUGACUGUAUCGUAUAGUCUGCAUCGUUACAAAAACUUACUUACAAGGUCUCUAUUAUUGGGUACUCCUGCUGUCUUUUGCUGUUAUAAAUUGUGAAUUUCCUAUAUACUCAAUCCCUCUGCCUUCCUGCACCUACUUAAUUUCUAGCAAUGAAGGAACAAUAUCAGUGGUAUCUUUGCACAGACAUCCUCAAAGGUUGGCACUCAUGCAAGCACAUCGCCGUGGUGAACUGCUAUGAAGAAGUCAUGACUAUAAUGAGGUGACAACGGCAGACUUUUUCCUAGAGAACCCUUCAUGAUUGAAUUGUGAGAAAGCAAGGAAUCGGGGUGUACCAUGGAGAACCAGAAUGGCCAGAGACUCCUGAUUCAUACUUUAUCUGAGAGUUGAGACCUUAGGCCACUGUCCUUGGGGCCUGGAUAUUUAUAUGCACCUGUACCUCAAGGAGUAAACCUGACAGUUCUGUGGUCCAUUGCUUUCACAUCUGACCAAAAGUCAGGAGGCGUGCUGCAGUGAUGGAUGGCAUUCCAGCGGUAUUUUGCAUUUGAGAUUCCACAGGGAACCUGGAAACUUAGUGCUUUUAUGAUGUAGGGCAUUUAUGACUUCACGAGAAAGACAAGGAACCUCAGAAUGAUCAGUAAUGUCUCUCAUCUUCCUCAAGAGGAGUAAGAGUCAGCAGAGG
rnacentral:lncRNA from 1 species